ensembl:miRNA aca-mir-5441 aca-mir-5441
UUCUCUCAGACUGGCUCUUGAAGCCUGAGUACUAAUAGAAGUCUGGGCUCUUUUUAGUACUCGGACUUCAAGAGCUAAUUUGGGACUA